UUUUCAGCUGAUAUUCAGAAAAUGUAUAGUUCCUGAGUCAGCUGUCUCAGUGCAGUUGAUUGGAUUUGCUGAUGCUUCCAGCACCGUUGGCUAUGGGUGUUGUAUAUACCUACGAGUAGUCGAUAUUUCAGGCGAGGUUAAGGUAUUGUUACUCUGUUCCAAGUCGCGUGUCAAUCCUAUAAGUAAAAGGUUAUCAGUACCAAGAUUAGAAUUAAAUGCUGCUCAUUUGCUUUCUUUAUUAAUUGACAGAGUCUAUAAUAUUUUAAAGGUAAAGGUUAAAGUUGAU
rnacentral:misc_RNA from 1 species